rnacentral:lncRNA from 1 species
GAUAUGUUAUAUAAAAUUUUAAUUAACUUUAAAAAUAUCAACGUAUUAUAUCAGUUUUGCACCAAUUUUAUAAAAUUCUUGUAAAUACUGAGUCUUUGUUAUAUAAUAUUAAUAAACAAGCAAUUAUUUUAUUUGAUUAUUUUUUUUUGAUACCGAUUUCCUAUACUGCAAAUUCGAUGCGCAUUACGAAAUUCACGACCGAUGGAUUUCCGCGGCACGCCACACUCGUCGAUGAUUUCAUCAAAUUAAUUAUGACGCAAAUUUUCCAUUGUUAUUUAUUAAUAAUGCAUAUUGGCUGUGGCGCACGAGUACGCGUUUUCGGACGAACUGUUGCUUCGCACAUAGUUAUUAAUUACACGCGCAGUUAUUAAUUACACCAACGUCGAAUAUUAAAAUUCUGAUUAAAGUGCCGAUUACCUGCUGCACAUGUGUCGCCAAAUAAAAGCUUCCAGAUAAUAAUAACGCUGGUAAAUCGUGGUACACACUAUGAAUGAACAUCGAAUAAUUGUAACGAAAACAAAUUAUAUCGCACGCAUAUAACAUCAACUAUUUAGACUUCUGUCAUAUUGCCAAUUUUGUUGGAAGAACAAAACGUUUGUAAUAAAUUAAUUCUCGUAUAUGUUAAAAUGUUUUUGUUAUAAUUAAUAAUUAAAGCUACGCGUAAAAAGUGAGUAACGUAUUACAAACGGAUUAUAAUACUUUUGUUCCUGCCUUUAAUUCUUUUCUUAGCAGAGUCCCGUUCGAAGAAAAGGAAUUUGCAUGGUGUUUUCUAGUAAUUCUAGUUUAAGUGAUCCAACAUAUUCUUGCGUGGAAUUACGUUAAGUUUACAUUGUUCGGUAUACGAAGCUUCUCGACGAUUUCACUUGCAGUCGCUGGGUAUAAAGAUUUUCUUUUUAUCGUGGACGCUGCGAAUUAUCAAAUAAAUAUUUUCCACGACUUUCUCUUCCUCCUUCGCGCAAAAGUCCAAGCACGUACGUGCUAGUGAAAAGCACGUCAUGCUGACUCCUUCGCAUUAGUUUCUGCACACAUCCGACGGAAAGUGCUACGCCAGUUUCUGCUUCCGGAUUUAACCGUUUGAAUGCCUAUCGAAAACUCUAUUGCUACCUCGAACCGUUGAAUAUAAACUUUGCUCGUAAUUUAAAAUUUUUCUCUCAAAUAAAAAAAGGAAACACUUCUCGAGUACCUUAAGUUUAAACUAGACUAUCAAUCAAAAAUCGGAUGAAAUAAUUCAAAGUUAUAUUUCUCAUUAAAGUAGAUUAAACUAAUCAAUAAGAUUAUGAUUAAUUUCAACUUGGGGAUAUAAUAGUUCUUAUUUUAAAUUUGCGUGAUAAACUUAAAAGUUAAUUUGCGUCCCUUGAAGGUUUGUGAUGAAUCGUUAAACUAGACACAUAAGACUUUUUUAAGAUUAAGUGACUUCUAAAAAAUGCAUAGACUUCUUAAAAAACAAGGGAGCCUGCUCACAUGGCGCGGUAGAUACCGUAAUUCCGCGGAAGCAUUAUAUCGUCGUCUCAAGCGCUUCCGUUUGAUUGAUCGACGAGCAAACCACAGUCGGCGUUGGUGCCGGAGUGAUCGAUCGCCCCCGUCUUCGACACAAUCGCGAAUCCCCGCGGGUCCUUUCCCCCCUUGCCCGAUAAAUCGCUUCGCCGAGUAAUUCGCGUAUAAAACUGCCGUACAAUUACGAUUAGGCAGUUGAGGCAGUUUCCUGCUCUUUCUCUUGAAUUUUAGUCUACUAGUGCUUUUCGAAAUCAUGAAUCUUCCAGGCAAUAGUACAACCAAUCUAGAAUCGAAUUUGAAAAUAUCAUGGAUUUGACCGUCUAAUAAAAAUGUUUGUUUUUCAUAUUGGAUAGAAUUAUUUUGCUUUCUCUCUGAAACUGGACCUGGUCAUUUUGGACGCGAACUCUAAGAACCAGCGUACCCGCCUGUACGCGCUGGUCCUGCGUUUGACUGUGAAAUAUGGUGCGGCGCCACACCUACUCGCGGACGGGGCAAGUAUUGUCCUGGCGGCGUGUCUCGCGCCGUUUUGGCUGGCGAGAAAGGACCUUUCUCCUUUUGGAAUUUCUCGAGGGGACAAUCGACGACAGGUAUUUACACAAGUGUGCGAUUUGUAUGAUCUACACUUGUCCGCUUACCGCAAAUACGGGCUCGAGAAGACGCAACGUGGGCCAAAACUUUCUCACCGAUUCGGUUAAGUGCUCAAAACAGUUGCCAACACCGACCACCCGCCACCCCUUGAGACCGAGUUGGAAGGACGUAAAAAGGAGGAGGGGGGGGGGGGGGGCAGGAAGGAGCGGGGGAACCCAAACCCUCAUUCUUACUGGAAAAGUAGACGGCGAAGUAGACGAAAGCUUUCGCGAUCUUUUACCGUAAUCAUUGUGUCCAUUGAUAUACAAACGUACAUUGUAUGUAAGUAACAGGAUGUGCUGUUUUCUUAGAUAAAUGCAAGUUCUUCGAUUGGGUCCCCUUUUAUUGAACGAAGGAAUUGUCCACCGCGCGUAUGCGCGGGGGAAUAACUUCGAUUUCAUGUCAGAUGCAGGAUUUUUCUUCCUUUGUUGUGUGCACGUAUAAAGGGACGACACUUCCAUUUUGAAGCAAUUCCCCGAGAAAAUGCCCGCCCUUGAAUUCCGGAAAGUUGAUAAAACUCAGUUGCCAGGUAUUCCAGAAGGACCCAUUUGUUUGACGAGAAAUCAUCAGAAAAGUGCGACGUUAUUUUAUUAUAAACGUAAAUGUUUCCGUGCGGAUCAUUCAAUGUAGAAAUAAUUUUACGCUAAUGUAACGUAUUAAAAGUCUUAAUAAAAGUUAAUUGGGGCAAGAGGAGGGAGAAUAGCGAUUUUCCUUCUGAUUUUUUAUAGCUGGAUUUCAUUAUCACUUGACAUAGAUAUGACUGAAGAGUGUUGGCACUGUCGAAAGCUGAACAAGAUGUAAAUAAAGCGAUAAUUUUCACAGUCCCCGCGCUGUGUAGUAUCCUUGAUGCCAGAUUGUGUUCCUUUCUGGCACCGGUCCAAAAUGCAUAUAAGACUUGAAAUCGCGUGUUGAGCCAUCAAUCGAAAUUCGAUAUAUCCUUCUAUCUGCAGGCUCUUAUGUCAAUAUCACACGCAUGGUGUCUGUUUUUCGGUGACAAAAUCGAAAACCGAUCAAAUAUUGAAAUUACUUCUGCACCGCUUUACACGAAAGGGACGCAAAAAUUUGCGCACUACUCCGAACUCCUAUUUCACACAUUUAAAAAAAAAAUUAUUGAUUCAUAAAAAUGAGUACAUAUUUAUAAACGUGUGUAUCUGUAAGUGAUAAUUGCCGAAAUUUCUUUUUAAAGGUUAUAGUAAACUAGAUUGUCAGUUGUCAACACAUUAUAAUCUUUUCUUCCAAGAAUUGUAAGUAAAAUAAUUAGUUGAAAUAAAACGUUAAAAGAUUCUUUGAUAUAUUUUAAAUUUUGACAUUUUCCCGAUAUUGAAAAAAUUGAUCAUUGAUUUUUACGUUUUAAGAAAUUCAAAUUGUAUGAGAUAAAUUUUGUCUUCAGAAUUACUAGUUGAAAAAGCAUAAUAUUAUUUCUUGUGUAAAAAGAAAUAAAGUAACCUUUACAUAAGAAAAUAAAUUUCUACAGUUCCCUUUAUCGGAAAAAUUGUAACGUAUUUUAAUGCAAGAUCGAUGACAAUUCUGUUUCAUUAAAUAUAUUUAAAUUUUUUAGUAAAGGAAUUAAAAAAAAGUUAUUAGUUUGUUGAUAUCUAUUUGACUUUGGCGCAAUUAGAUAUCAGAAUAUUUAAUUUUUGGAAUUUUUGAAUUUCUUGCUGCCCGGAUGUUUUUUUCAAACGUGUUAGAUAAAAAUAUGAUAUUACGCGAAAAUAGAAGCUAGCGGAGGAACAGAAAGGACGGAAAAGUCGCGAAGUUAUGAAGACGAUGUGAAAGCGAUUUUAUUUCGCGAAGACGGCCACAACAUUGCAAACUUUGUGUCUUGUUCACGCCUGCUCGACAAAAUUCUUCGUACGUAUACAUAGCUAUGCAUGUACGACGCAAGGUGGGCGGGAGAUCACCUUAUUGUAACGCUAUGUAUCUUGCUCCGUCGACAGUUUACAAACCCUUACGCAGAGAGGAGAAAUUCCAAGCUUACCGUCACACUGAUACGCAGCCAUUCUUGUUGGGAGGUGAAAAAAAAAAAGGGGUUGAAGUACGGAAGUGAGCAAACAUGCUUUAUAAAACAUGAAGGGUAAAGUCGCUGGUGAAUCCACGUUCUCCACCUCAUCUCAACUCCAAUCGACGCUUAAUAUUUUCCAUCAUUUUUAAUUACUCGUGCAAACAACUUGGGCGUGGCAACGAAAUCGUUGCACUCGUUGAGCAAAAACAUUUUUAAUUUUUAAGAGAAGGAGGAAAAUGUGCAAUGCCGAAUAAAUAUCAAGAGAAGGUUGAACAGUCUAUAAAUAUAAAUUUAACAAAACAAAAAUAUCAAUUCACACAAAGUUAUUCAUAAUUUUUAAAAUUUGUGAAUUUGUAAAUUAUACAGAUCCUCUGCCUUUUGAGCUUUGUGACUUUAGUUUUCUGGAUAUUGUUGGCCCUAGUUAGGGAUCUAAAUAUUAAAAUAACUAGAGUUGAGGAAACAAGCACACUUUUGAUGUUAUCUUCCCCACUUCUUAUCACAUGAAACUAAAUUGAAUGAUCGAGUGAAAGCUCACCACGUCGUCGAUUUAGAUUGAAGUAAUCAUGCCGAGUCAUCGAAUUUCAUUUUUAUCAUUCACAAAGAAACCAUCCGAGGAUCCUUUUUCCCCGAAGAACCCGUGGCUUAAUCUAAUGCAACGUCUGCACGAUUUUAUUUAUCCAAUGCAGCCGUAAGGGAAAUGCCGGAUGAAAAUUGUAAAGGGGAGGGGAGUGUACACAAUCUUCAUUUCAUAUUAAUGAAUUUUUGUUUUGAAAAUUCGCGGUGAAGAAACGAGCGGCGAUGGUUGCCGCAAGAUGGUAUGUCAGAAUCGGGUGAUGGAAAUGUGUAGAGCACGGAUGUACGACAAUGUAAUCGACUCUCUUGAGGAUAACCUCGUUAUCCGACGCAGGAAGUCGCAUCUAGAAAACAGUCUUUUUCUAGACUCCAAUUCUCCGGUACCGGAUUUCCUUGCACGCUCCCCAGGACGCGCAAAUGGACUUUUAAAUUGUCUGCCGGCUGUGAAAAAUACGCGAUGCAAGAUGACAAAUUGUCAUACAAGGUAAUUGGUUUAAGUAAUCAGUAGACACAAGGUGUAUCAUAUACCAGGGACAAUAAAUAUCAGGAUACAUAUUGAAGAUUUGUGUCAGGUGUGUAUCAUGUGAUAGAGAUAAUAAGUGGGAAUUGAAUGAUUGCGUCGAAAGUAUGUGUAAUUCAAUCUAAGUGUUUGUUGAAUCGAUAAGAAAAGGAAUUUCACUAUAUUUUUUCAAUUUUUUUAAAAUUAAAAUAGCAAAUCCGUCAUUUUUACACAAGUAUUACGUUUUAAGAAGUAUUUAUCAUUAUCUCGUUGAAAAAUGUUCGGGUUUAUACAAAUAUAAUGUACAAUGGAGCUACAAAAUGGAGAAAUAUGCUCGAACGAGCAAUGGCAGCAUCAUUUACCCUAUCGCUUCUCUUGUUAAGCCAAUUGAAAUGAUUAAAUGGAAUUAGAGAAGAAUGACGGAUUUACUAUCAGACUGCAGAUCUCCCCGUGUAUUCUCGGAAGGAUCGAGUUAUAAUCAUCCUGCGAACCGCGCGCCACGACAACGAUACGUCGUGGAAUACUCUUCGGGGUGGAUUCAUUUGCGAUGAAAGUUCGUAAGCGAGUCCGAGAUUUAGUAAAGCAAUUUAAUAGAUCGGAUCGAAUGGCGCGAGUGACGGCGGGCGAUAGAUUUUAAUUGAAUUAUCGAUGAGGUCUCGACGCGCGUUAACGGAAUACUGAGAACUGCGACCCGGGAAACAUCCUUGCUGAAAUAUCGAUGCGACUUUCCGAAUGCAAAGUAAGAGAAUUGUGUCGCGUGUAUCGAACCUUCCAAUUGAAGCAAAAUAUUUGCCAGUAUCUGAAUAAUGCAGAAACUGUAAAGAUGCACCCGCCUUCUUUUUUAUCUUCUUUCUUGUAUUCACAACUAUACUUCUCUUCUUAUUUGAAUUUAUAUCUUUUUUAUUUUUUUUUUUUUUUUCAUAUCAACACAAACUAUAUCUAGUUUAAAUCAAAUCCAUUUCCUUAUAAAAUUAAAUCUACACCUUUUAUUUAUAGUGUCUGCAGAUUUUAUUCGAUUGAUUAAAAGUAUGAUAACAAUCGAGAAAAAGCAACGCAUUCAACAACAAAAGGUAUCGAAGGUUGUUACGCGAUUGAUUCGCACGGAUUUGGGAAGUAAAUUCUCUCUACUAGCGGGGAUUCGUGUAGUAUCCGAGAAAGAAAGCUCCCAAGAGAGGAUGCCGACUCAAGUAUACGUUAGCGUCCUAUAAAUUGUCAGAAAAUUUAUAGUGCUUGGUGAUGUCAUGCCCGGUGGUUUUGUUAGGGCCACUUGCUACCCUUGACUAGCACAAGCAUCUAGCUUCGAAUUUACUACCGCCUGUCGAAAGAACAAAUAAAAUCCGGUUGUUUUCGAACGCUGACUUUAUUUUGUUUUUCUACUUUUUUCCUUCGUUAAUUUAAAAAUCAUAAUAAGGUGUCCGAAGGUUCAAUAAUCUGAUAUUACAACGGAGCAAAAUAUUUUAAAUUAUUUAAUAAUUUCCAGUUUUUGAAUGUAUAUAAUGUGAUACGGUCACUUGAACCGCUACGUUUUAGCUUUAAUCCAACUUUGCUUGGCCUACGGAAUAAUCAGGAAUGUUUGCAUGCCCAGUGCCAUAGUUUUUUAAUUCGAGGAUCAAGCCGGCGGCAGUUUUACGACGGACGAUAACUCGCCGGGCAUGUGCCGAGGAUGGGGAAAAAAAAGCAAAUAGGUUGGCGAUUCGCUCAAAGCAAUUUAAAUUCCGCACGGAUUCCCUCUCUUCUCUUCUUUUCUCUUAGAAAGCCGAUCUAUUCACUUCGUCCUUUUCAACUCCUGUGUGUUUUUUCUUCUUGUACCGAUGCAACGAACCACCGAAGUCGUCAAACGCGAGACUGCGCUAUGGUUCCUGAGCCUCGAAAGUAGAGGCGAACGAGUUUUUCGUGAAAUCGAAUGCCAAUACUAUUCGCGGCGCCGGGAAUUUUAAGCAACUGCUGGAAAGUUCUCACGUACUACUGCAACGAAGAAAGGAAGGAAGAAGCAAGACGGGAGUUUCCUUUAAUUCCUUUUAAUUCGAAACAUUUGGUGCUCCUAGAGUCUUGAAGUUUUUUCUUCAAAUACACGUACCUUAUUUUUAUCUCACAUCAUAAAAAA